rnacentral:rRNA from 1 species
UACGUAGGGGGCGAGCGUUGUCCGGAGUGACUGGGCGUAAAGCGCUUGUAGGCGGUCCACCAAGUUUGGGGUGACAGUUGCCGACUUAAUCGGCAAAGUGCCUCAAAGACUGGCGGACUUGAGGGCCACAGAGGGACAUGGAACUCCAGGUGUAGUGGUGAAAUGCGUAGAUAUCUGGAAGAACACCAAAGGCGAAGGCAGUGUCCUGGGUGGUCGCUGACGCUGAGAGGCGAAAGCCAGGGGAGCGAACGGG